AAAAAGGCAAACCGUGGAUUCUCGUGCCAACGUUUAACUAUCCGUCUGAUAUGAAUUUUUUUAUAAUUAUUAUUUUCAUUGUUUUUAUAUGAUAAAACAUGAUUAAUACUUUAUGCGUGAUUUAUCUUUUUAAUUUUUUUCAUAUUUUUUUAAAUAAGACGGACAGUCAAACGUUGGACACGGAAAUCGGGGUUUGUCUUUUU
rfam:Oryza sativa (indica cultivar-group) chromosome 5, whole genome shotgun sequence.